rnacentral:lncRNA from 1 species
AUGGGAACCUGGCGCGAGGGAGGCAGGAAUUCCGCUCCACAGCUCCACAGCCUCCUCCUGCAACACCGGUUUCGGCUCGCUGCCCCGCACCUGCAGCGCCCGGGCAGCGCCUCUGGCCUCCCACGGCCGGCCGGGCUCCGCUCGGCGGAGCGCAGGGACACAUCCAAGCACCCGCCCCUCCCCCCGCGCUGCCGCCAGUCGGCUCCAGAGCCAAAGCCAAGGGCCGGGGGAAGGGGCCCCCCGGGACCCUGGGCUCGUUCCCCUCCUGGGCGCCUGCGAGGGGCAUCGGCGGCCGGGGCGGCAGGGCUGCCCCCGGUCCGUGUUACCUGCGCGGAGCGGGGCUCGCCGGCGUCGCCUCCCCGGCCGCGGCGGAGCGGGGACGCGGGCGCGCCGGAAGCAGACACAGCCGCGCGCUCACCUGCGCGCCCCCGCCGCCCCCCCGCCUCCUCCGCCGCCGGCCCGCACCAACUCCCGCCGCCGCACGGGGACGGCGGGAGGCGCGGGGCUGCCCGGCGGCCGCGGCCGCGCUCCCUCUGCGGGAUCUCACGGUGCCUCGGAGGAUCCAGUGGUGAACGCCUCCCGGCUGGGCCGCGACUGCGCCUCGGCGCGGUGACCAAGCAUUGGAACAGAUUGCCCAGAGAGAUUGUGGAGUCUCCCUCAUUGGAGAUACUGAAGAACAGUCUGGAUGCAAUCCUGUGCAGUGUGUUCAGGGCUGACCCUCCCUGGGCAGGGAGCUUGGACCAGAUGAACUUUUAUUUGCACCAGGGUUCUCUUGGUUCCCCUGACAGUAGUAAGAACACGUGUAACAACAGUGCUUCUGUAAAACCGUAUGAAGGAACAAAAGUUUGUUUCAGGUAACGCGAACUGCUGACAAUAUUUGUCAUCUCAUUCUUCACUGCAGUCAGCAUGAACAAACAUAGUGACACUGAAGAUACAACUGGAGCUGUUCUGGUACUGCCACAAAUAUGUAAAAUUAAUUAUUGCUUAAAUACUCAGAUUGAUUUUAUAACAAGGUCUUUAUAAAAUUAUAAAUAAAGUAUCAAAAAGUUAUAUGAUGUCUUGCUGA